GACAGCAGCAGCCGCGGUAAUACGUAGGGUGCAAGCGUUAAUCGGAAUUACUGGGCGUAAAGCGUGCGCAGGCGGUGUUGUAAGACUGAUGUGAAAUCCCCGGGCUCAACCUGGGAACUGCAUUGGUGACUGCAACGCUGGAGUAUGGCAGAGGGGGGUGGAAUUCCGCGUGUAGCAGUGAAAUGCGUAGAUAUUCGGAGGAACACCAGUGGCGAAGGCGGCUCACUGGUCCAUUACUGACGCUGAGGUGCGAAAGCGUGGGGAGCAAACAGGAUUAGAUACCCCCGUAGUCCCUGUCUCUUAUAC
rnacentral:rRNA from 1 species